UGCACACCGGGUUCUAAAGACCAGAAACCUGCCUGAAGGUUGCCUGACGUGUGAUAGGGUUCGCGCUCAGGCGGCCCAGUAACCUUACAGGGUUUGUAGGGCGCCGCAAGGAAUGCGUGUUGGAUACGCCUGCUCCCUGAUCAGAGCCCGGAAAUUACAGGGUUGAUGACAUGGGAAACCACUUCUCACUGGAGAUGAAAUAUGUGAGGAGAAAGACACAGAGAUGCAGCACAGGACAACUCUGAUGGGCAAUACCUCCUCCACAGAUUCCCAGGGCUAUCUAUCUUCCCAUCUAUAUUUGGAUUCUCCUAAGACUAGAACUACAUAGUCUUCAUGAUAGAGUCUCAGCAAUUCUCUCCUGAUGCUAAUGCAGAGUUUGGAGACUGGACUACCUUUCUAGACCAUCUGGCAAAUGACCAAAUGACUUCUUGGAUCAAGCCUUCCCUUCCUUUUCCAUCUUUCACUGAUUUUUCCCAGUGUGUAAAGUUGAAUUUGGGGUGCCACCAUUCAUCUGAUUCUUUGGUAUGAGGGCUCCUGGGCCUGAGGGCCAUUUCAGGGUCACUGAGGCAAACAACUUGGGUCAAGGGUCCUCCUUUCUCAGCCCAUCACCUCACCUGGCCAGUGGGGAGUUGUGCCAGCCCAGAUUCAGAACUUUUCUGUUAAAAUGUGGAAUUCAGAGGGCUGGCCCCGUGCCUGAGCGGUUCAAUUCGAGCACUCUGCUGCAGGCGGCCCAGUGUUUCGCCGGUUCGAAUCCUGUGCACGGACAUGGCACUGCUCAUCAAACCACGCUGAGGCGGCGUCCCACAUGCCACAACUAGAAGGACCCACAACGAAGAAUAUACAACUAUGUACCGGGAGGCUUUGGGGAAAAAAAGGAAAAAAAUAAAUAAAUAAAAUUUUAAAAAGGUG
rnacentral:lncRNA from 1 species